AAUAAUAGCAAAAUGAUGAGCGACAGCGGUGUUGUCACAUCAGGAGUGAGUGAAGAGGCAACCACUGAGAUGAUAAGCCGCACUGACACUGAGCACCCAUCCUCCAGGAGGAGAUCAUAGGAGGAGGUAAUAUUCCUCCUCCACUUCCUCCUCCCAGCGGAUCGUGCUUCGGGGUGAUGAGGGCGCUCUAGUGGUCCUCUCAGACC